rnacentral:tRNA from 1 species
UCUUCAUUAGCUUAGUGGUGAAAUGGUCGAUUGUUAAUUGAUUGGUUGUAGGUUUAAAUUCUACUUGGAGAG